AUUGAACGCUGGCGGCAGGCCUAACACAUGCAAGUCGAGCGGAUGAAGGGAGCUUGCUCCUGGAUUCAGCGGCGGACGGGUGAGUUAUGCCUAGGAAUCUGCCUGGUAGUGGGGGAUAACGUCCGGAAACGGGCGCUAAUACCGCAUACGUCCUGAGGGAGAAAGUGGGGGAUCUUCGGACCUCACGCUAUCAGAUGAGCCUAGGUCGGAUUAGCUAGUUGGUGGGGUAAAGGCCUACCAAGGCGACGAUCCGUAACUGGUCUGAGAGGAUGAUCAGUCACACUGGAACUGAGACACGGUCCAGACUCCUACGGGAGGCAGCAGUGGGGAAUAUUGGACAAUGGGCGAAAGCCUGAUCCAGCCAUGCCGCGUGUGUGAAGAAGGUCUUCGGAUUGUAAAGCACUUUAAGUUGGGAGGAAGGGCAGUAAGUUAAUACCUUGCUGUUUUGACGUUACCAACAGAAUAAGCACCGGCUAACUUCGUG
rnacentral:rRNA from 1 species